rnacentral:misc_RNA from 1 species
GAUGAAGAACGUAGCGAAAUGCGAUAAGUAGUGUGAAUUGCAGAAUUCAGUGAAUCAUCGAAUCUUUGAACGCACAUUGCGCCCUUUGGUAUUCCUUAGGGCAUGCCUGUUCGAGCGUCAUUUAAACCUUCAAGCUAAGCUUGGUGUUGGGUGACUGUCCGCUUCACGGCGGACUCGCCUCAAAAUUAUUGGCGGCCGGUACAUUGGCUUCGAGCGCAGCAGAAACGCGAACUCGGGCCCGUCGUAUUGGCUCCCAGAAGCUAUCUUCACAAUUUUGACCUCGGAUCAGGUAGGGAUACCCGCUGAACUUAAGCAUAUAAAUAAGCGAGGA